rnacentral:lncRNA from 1 species
CCUACAUCUGCUUAACUACAUCUAUGCUCCUGGAGGUCUUUGACUGGUGGACUUAUACAACAGUUCUUGAGGUCAUCCAUGAACUAUGCGGAAAUGGAACAAAGCCAGAAUCCUGGAGAACUUCAAUAUUUAAGAAGCAGGAAGAAAAAAAACAGCUAGGAAAGAAUUCAGAGAACAAAAAAGUCAAGUGGCAGAAGAACUAGAUCUACACAUGGCGAGCGUUAAGCAGAGGGCCACUGGGACCCGGUUGGACCAGCUGAGGACAGCUGGGGUCAGAAGGAAGGGAAGAGGUCCACGUGGGAUGACAUGUGCUUGGUAUUAGAUACUGCAGGAAGGAACCAGUUACAAUUCAGAAAGGAAACCCCUGGAGAAGGGGACAGGAAAAAGGAGCCUGCCGUUCUGGCGACUGUGCAGUCCCCUAGGAAGAAGAUGGAGGCAGAGGAAGGAGAGAGUCCAGGCUGGGUCUCAAACACAACGAGUACCCUGGCGGCGAGAGGGAUGAUGCUGAGGCCUGGAGAAUGGGAGUUGGAUAACCCAGUCUCAUCUAGACAACUACCUUUACAGGCAUCUCCUCCCUCCCAAUAUUUUGUUGGGUUGAGGAGCAUCCAGCGCACUCAGCAUCCAUUCCCACUCCUGGCGUGCCUUCCCACUCAGCAGAGGCUGGAGACAGACAUUACAACUCCAUGGCUGGCUUGCAGCGAGGGUUUGCCAUUCGAAUCGGGUUCUGCCAAUUAGAUGCACGCGUGCCAGAUUUGAGUGGGGGAAGUGAAGUGGAGACCAUUUUCCUGCUGUCUUUACUGUUUCUCCAGGCAAGAAAGAUCAUGAAGAUAGGAGACUGUGGCAGCCAUGAGAAUAAGUCUCUCACUUCUCCACUGCAAGGGCUGGAACAGACCCACCGCCUGCUACUGCGCUCUGAGAUCCACCAGCACAUUCACCCCCGGCAGCCGCGCUUCCCACGGGCUGGGAAUUAUCUCAUUUUAUUUAAUUCUCACAAUGAAGCAGACAACAGAGACGGAGACACACUGCCCGAGGACAGACAGCUAGCAAGUCAAAGGGCGAGAUUCAAGCCGUGAUGGCCAGUUCCAGACAGAAGUGUUUAACCACUGCCCAUUCUCAGACAGAGCAAGGCUCCAUCUGCCAAAUUACACGGGGAAUAGGCAACUCAGGUGGCUGAAUUUGGUCCAAGACUUGCUUGCAUUGUAAGGCAUCACCGAGAAGCGAGGUUUCGGAGGAAACUGCUUUCCUCACACACCUCUGAUCAUUGGAAACCAUGAAUACUCAACAAGAAGAAGCUGAUCGCUGUGAACUGGCAAAUUAGCCUAGGUCAGGUCACAAGAAUGGGCAUCUUUAAAGUUUGCUUUAUUGUGUCAAUAUCCCCUUCAGUGCUAUUAAAUACCAAGGAAAAAAUGAAACGCAACGAAAAUGAAGCUUGUCGUUUCC